rnacentral:rRNA from 1 species
GACGAACGCUGGCGGCGUGCCUAAUACAUGCAAGUCGAACGAGAGCGACCGGUGCUUGCACUGGUCAAUCUAGUGGCGAACGGGUGAGUAACACGUGGGUAACCUGCCCAUCAGAGGGGGAUAACAUUCGGAAACGGAUGCUAAAACCGCAUAGGUCUUCGAACCGCAUGGUUUGAAGAGGAAAAGAGGCGCAAGCUUCUGCUGAUGGAUGGACCCGCGGUGCAUUAGCUAGUUGGUGAGGUAACGGCUCACCAAGGCCGUGAUGCAUAGCCGACCUGAGAGGGUGAUCGGCCACAUUGGGACUGAGACACGGCCCAAACUCCUACGGGAGGCAGCAGUAGGGAAUCUUCCGCAAUGGACGCAAGUCUGACGGAGCAACGCCGCGUGAGUGAAGAAGGUUUUCGGAUCGUAAAACUCUGUUGUUAGAGGAGAAUAAGUGCUAGAGUAACUGUUAGCGCCUUGACGGUAUCUAACCAGAAAGCCACGGCUAACUACGUG